AUGACUUGGAGAGGAUCUGCAAAGAGGAGUGGGACAAAAUCCCACAAAAGUAUAUGUAAAAAAUACAUAAAAUCUGGCCCCAACUUUGACAGAACACUAGAUCCCUCUGCCAUAUUCAUACACAUCCGGUCAGACUGUUUUAAAAUCCGACCAGUAGGCUCCUGCUCCACUACCUGCACAAAGCAGUGAUGUCAUUAGCCAUCACCCUGUGUGUUCUGCCUGGACCAAAUUCUGAUCGCAUUGGCAAUUCUCAGAUUUACUAAAGCCAAAUGAGUUUCGAAUUUAAUCGGUCUGACCAAUUCUCUAACAUUGGUUCAGAUGAGGAAAUCAUUGAUUUUCCGACCUUAUCCAAACCAAUCUACAGCACCGGUAUUGCAAAUUAUCAGCCACUUGCUAUUUGCAAGUGAAUUCACAUUUGAAGAACUUUUUGGCUGCUGACAGUGCUAGCAGUCAGCAGACAAAUAGUUGAAAACCCU